UAAAGGUGUUGCAGUUAAAAAGCUCGUAGUUGAAUUUCGGGAUUAGUAGGUUGGUCGUGCCUCUGGUAUGCACUGGCUUUACUGGUUCCUCCUUCUUGAAGAACUGUAAUGUCAUUAAUUUGGUGUUGCAGGGAAACAGGACUGUUACUUUGAAAAAAUUAGAGUGUUUAAAGCAGGCUAACUCUUGAAUACAUUAGCAUGGAAUAAUGAAAUAGNACGUUUGAUCCUAUUUUGUUGGUUUCUAGGAUUGACGUAAUGAUUAAUAGGG
rnacentral:rRNA from 1 species